GUAGGUGAACCUGCGGAAGGAUCAUUAUUGAAUAAGCUUGGUUUCAGACUGUUGCUGGUUCUGUAGGGCAUGUGCACGUCUGUUCCAUUUUUAUUACCACCUGUGCACUUCGUGUAGAUCUGAAUUACUCUCGAGGCAAACUCGGUCUGAGACGUUACUGAGCAUUUGAAAUGAAAUGCACAGUUUUGUCUUUAGAUAUUCAGAUCUAUGUCUUACUACACUCUACGAUACAAGUAUUUGAAGUUGGACG
rnacentral:misc_RNA from 1 species